UGGGGAAUUUUGGACAAUGGGCGAAAGCCUGAUCCAGCAAUGCCGCGUGUGUGAAGAAGGCCUUCGGGUUGUAAAGCACUUUUGUCCGGAAAGAAAUCCUUGGCUCUAAUACAGUCGGGGGAUGACGGUACCGGAAGAAUAAGCACCGGCUAACUACGUGCCAGCAGCCGCGGUAAUACGUAGGGUGCAAGCGUUAAUCGGAAUUACUGGGCGUAAAGCGUGCGCAGGCGGUUUGCUAAGACCGAUGUGAAAUCCCCGGGCUCAACCUGGGAACUGCAUUGGUGACUGGCAGGCUAGAGUAUGGCAGAGGGGGGUAGAAUUCCACGUGUAGCAGUGAAAUGCGUAGAGAUGUGGAGGAAUACCGAUGGCGAAGGCAGCCCCCUGGGCCAAUACUGACGCUCGUGCACGAAAGCGUGGGGAGCAAAACAGGAUUAGAUACCCUGGUAGUCCACGCCCUAAAACGAUGUCAACUAGUUGUUGGGGAUUCAUUUCCUUAGUAACGUAGCUAACGCGUGAAGUUGACCGCCUGGGGAGUACGGUCGCAAGAUUAAAAACUCAAAUGAAUUGACGGGGUCAUAGCUGUUUCCU
rnacentral:rRNA from 1 species